rnacentral:rRNA from 1 species
UACGAGGGGGGCAAGCGUUGUUCGGAAUUAUUGGGCGUAAAGGGCGCGUAGGCGGUGCGGUAAGUCUGAUGUGAAAUCUCCGGGCUCAACUCGGAGUCUGCAUCAGAAACUGCCGUGCUCGAGUGUGGGAGAGGUGAGUGGAAUUCCCGGUGUAGCGGUGAAAUGCGUAGAUAUCGGGAGGAAUACCUGUGGCGAAGGCGGCCUUCUGGACCGGUCCUGACGCUGAGACGCGAAAGCGUGGGGAGCAAACAGG